GGCAGCUCCAAGUGAAAAGCAAAAAUAAUCUAAUGAAACUCCAGUAGCGAUCUUGCGACCAGAAAGAUAGCUGACUACCUAGAAUUUCAUCAAGAGCGGUUUAGUUCCCAGACCACUACAGUUUCUUUCGUGGAACACACCGCACCUCUUUCACCUGCACAGCGCAGGGACCCUGAAACACGCGCCACCUAUCUUCACUGGGCGGGAUAAUUGGGGAGCGCCAAACGUGAGCAUCCUCGGGAAAACGUGUUUCAUUUUUUUUUUUCUCACGAUGCGAGAGAAAUGAGUUGAGCCGGACUACCUUGCCGUCCAAGCAAGAAUAAUAUUUGAAGAAAGUUGGAAUACCCCCUCCCUCUCCGGCUCCCGACCUCCGCAACCAUUUCGACAAGAAGGGUUCUAACGGAAAUCAUGCUGGAGCAACUACCGACCCUCGCAGACCAAGGAUCAACAAACAGCGCCGAAAUAUCUGGUUACUUACAAGCAUCUGAGCAUCUGGGGUUCCGGCCGCCCAGCUCAUAUCUGCAAAUGCGCAACCGACUACCUUUUAAAUCAAACGUCUAUUACGGCGCAAUCAAUGGUAAAAACAAAUAUGUAUUUUGGAUGUCUCCAUGUCUCUUUAUGCUGACCUGAUACAGUGAAAGAAUUCCAGCACUGAUCUGAGAAAGCUUCUCGAAGAUUGAUCUCAAAUGACAAGGGAUGUAUACUGCACCUCAAAUUAAACUGCCCUCCUCAAGAUUUAUAUACUUAACUUGAACCAUUCAUAUAUCUUACUUGUUUUUACUAUUCAUGAAGGGAUUUAUAUAUAGAAAGUAUUCAUGCAUGUUUACUUAGACCUGUCAAAGCAGUCAUUUGAUAAAGGUGAUCAUUUUUGAUUAGUUAUCAAAUAGCUUAAUGUGAGAAUGUUUCUCAGUUAGGGUACAAUUAAGCUACUGUUGGCCUGUUACACAUGAGUGUGUGUUAAAAAAACAGGAUCCUUUUUUCUUCCCUCACAGAUAUCUCUCCUGAUUGGUUUUGCUUGGACAGAAACAGCUCGAGUUUGAGAGCGAGAGAGGUCCCUGGAAAACCCCAGAUCUGUGCAAAAAAUGAAAGGGGCGAAUGCACAGGUGGUGGGAAAAUGGAGAACGUGAAAUUCCCAAGCGAAACAGAAGUGGAUUCAGUCGCUUCCUGUCUCUGAGCAACAUCUUCUAAGCGGCCGUGUUCAGGUCACACUGCCGCUGUGUUUCACUGGAAUCAAACAAAUGAGUGCUAACGGCUCAAACAAACAGAACAUUCCCAGGGAAAGUAAUUCUUGGUUGUGUAGCGUCUGCUCUAUCAUUUAGAAUUCAUCAUUCGCAUAAGAAUAAUGCAAUGGAAAAAAAUACAGUUUGUGUAACAGACAGUGUUAACUAGGGAAACUUACAUUUUGACAAAUUACCCACUUACACUGCUGGAUCUUCACUGAAGCAACUCAGGUGAAGUACCCUGCUCAAUAGCACAAUUGCAGUGUCCCAUUCAGGGUUCAACCUUGCAAUCCUCAGGUUACAAGUACAGUUUAUGAAUUGCUACUCUAUGAUGCCGCAUAAGAAUAGUAGCCUAUUAAGAUCAUACCAGAUGGCACAGAUAAAUGCAGUAUUCAGGUGGCUUAAUGGUUAAUGUAACUACCUCAUUUAGAAAUUGUUCUGUAAUGCUAUAUUGCAUAUGUUGGAGUCUGUUCAUUCAAAUGUUUAAGCAAUAUUUUAAGAGUCCAAUAAACCAGAGGAAGAAUGAUAUCUUAUACAAAUUAGCUUUUACUGUAUACUUACUUUUCAUGGUUAUAUCUAAAUGUCAUUAUCAAUAACAUUGUCAGAGUAGAAGUAAUCUAGAUAAUGAAAGAAGUGUCUAUGGACCCUGGAAGUAGUAAAAGUCAGAAAGUUUAUGGCAGCACUGAAAUUUAGAAAGAACUACAAAUGAUGUAUUACUCCCUAAACUAAUAAACCAUUACAGAUGGCUAUCAUAUGACGAUAAGUAUGAGAGAAUCUCAUUUCCACCACAUAAGGUCUGUGCCUUAUGCAGCCUGCAUUGGGCAGUUAAGUUCACUAUGGGCCUGUAUCGUGUGAUAGUUAAUUUGAACACUGAAUAUGUAGUGUUGCAAUACACACUGAAAGUAACAGUGUUACAAUGUUGUUAUUUUUGGUACCAUAGUUAGAGGA